rnacentral:piRNA from 1 species
AGCACAGAGGCCAAUGAACAACAA